UACGGAGGGUGCGAGCGUUGUCCGGAAUCACUGGGCGUAAAGGGCGCGUAGGCGGCCUGAUAAGUAGGGGGUGAAAUCCUGCGGCUUAACCGCAGGGCUGCCUUCUAAACUGUCAGGCUCGAGCACAGUAGAGGCAGGUGGAAUUCCCGGUGUAGCGGUGGAAUGCGCAGAUAUCAGGAGGAACACCAAUUGCGAAGGCAGCUCGCUGGGACGUUACUGACGCUGAGACGCGAAAGCGUGGGGAGCAAACAGG
rnacentral:rRNA from 1 species